GACAGAGGGUGCAAACGUUGUUCGGAUUUACUGGGCGUAAAGCGCGUGUAGGCGGCUUUGCAAGUCGGAUGUGAAAGCCCACGGCUCAACCGUGGAAGUGCAUCCGAAACUGCAUGGCUUGAGUCUCGGAGAGGAAGGUGGAAUGCUUGGUGUAGAGGUGAAAUUCGUAGAUAUCAAGCAGAACACCUGCGGCGAAGGCGGCUUACUGGUCCGGUACUGACGCUGAGGUGCGAAAGCGUGGGGAGCAAACAGG
rnacentral:rRNA from 1 species